rnacentral:lncRNA from 1 species
UCCAGAUUCAGCCAUGAGUAAUUUACUUGAAUCACCCCACUCUGCAAUACGACUCAGAAGCCGAACAGCUACAGGUAAGGCUCCAGGUUUAUUUGCAUUAGGCUUCAAGAGAUUCACCAGUAAAGGAAUACAUCUUUUGGUAAGUGAAUCGCGUCUUAAUCUUUCAUCUUCGAAUAAUGCUUCUAAUGUAGCCUCACAAGGAUUUUGUAACAGAGAUAACUCUUCUGCUAAGGCACCAAGACUCCCUGUGCAUGAUUCUGCAUUCCCAACCGUGUUGAUCAGGGCUUCUAUGAUAUCUGAAUUCACUAUUUCUGCAAUGAUUUUAUCAUUCUUAUUACGG